CACUAAAUAAAAUUUCAUUAUUCAAGUAUAACCAGAAGCAAUUGCUAUGCCUAGACGAGUACAACCUUCGAAGAGAGACUUUCAAAACACUGUUUAUUUUUGUCACAGGACUUUUCAUAGUUGCAUCAUUUUCUUAUCUUGUUUUGCUACAGUGCACAUACCUCCUAGAAAAACACGCUUUUCUCUUUCCACCAUAAAAGAAAACCCUACAACUCCCUCUUCUCUCGACCAAUCAUUUUGUAUCCCCACCAUAAGAGAAAACCCUUCAACUCUUUCUCUCUACCUACUAAAGAAAAUCCCGGAUCAGUCAUUCCAAACCCUAAUCUCUUUUCAUCACACAUACACAUGUAUGCAUUUUUACACAAACUUAGCCAACGAUUGUAAUGCAAAGACUAGCGGGCUUCUCAUCGCCUUCGCCUCGAUCGGAUUUUGUAUGGAAGGCGAGACAUCUCUGCUCAAUAAUGGAUUUGUUUUUGCGCUGUUGGAGAAAGUUGGGCUCCUGGCUUCUCUUUAAAGGAUAAAUCUUUACUAGAUUUGGUUGUUUGGUCUUUCAUUUCCCUUUAUUUUUCUUCAAGCUUUAGCGGUUGUUUGGUCUCUAACUUCUCUUUGUUUUCCUUACACGCACGCAUUCAUGUAUGCAUGUAUACACAAACUUCUCCAGCUCAAUUUAUCCAAGGUUUCGUAGCCUGUAAAUUAAUUGAAGUUUUGGAAUUUGUGUUUAAUUAAUUUGACUUCAUUAGUAAUAAUAAUUUAUAAAAGAUGGGUGUAUUCUAUUUAUUUUACUAGGAUAAUUAAUACGAAGAAUAAGGUCGAUUGUUAUCCAUGAUUUUUAUGGAUUUCAUCAUUUUUCAUUAACUUUUAUCAAAAUUUACUAAAAAUUUAAUUGGUACCAAACAAAACCAAGUAUGCUCUUAACACAAGUUAAUUGUUCCAAUUGUCACUGAACUUAAGUCCAUAUCUUUUAUUGGUCAUUGAAAUUUAAAAUGUUGAGUUUUAGUCACUGAACUAAUAUUCAUGUUUUCGAUUGCUCACUGCAACAUUUUUAAAAAUCUAGUGGCUAAAACUCGACAUAUUAAACUUCAAAAAGCAAUCGAAGAUAUGGAUUUAAGUUUAAUAAUAAAAGUUUGACAUUUUAAAUUUUAGUGACCAAUCAAAGGCAUGAAUCUAAGUUCAGUGACCAUUGGAACAAUUGUGGAAAUGGUAGAUAAAGGCCUUUUGACCCGGGUGAAAACUUUUUUUAGCCUUUGACCACAAUUUACAUGAAAAAAAAAUGUGAACUAAAUAUUAAUAUUGCUAUUUCCUAUUUUACCCUUCCAAACUUGUAUGAAUGAAAAUGAAAUCUCUUAUUCCCAUGAAUCGACUUUUCUUCUAGUUUUCAUUUCAUUCCCUCUCUCAAGUCUCAACGAAAGCUAAAAUUUGCAAAAUCAAACAAAAGAAAUUUCAAAUACAAUAAUUUUCUCCUCAAAUCACAAAUGAUCAGUGAUAUUCAACAUUGAGAAGAAGAAAUCCCAUAUCAUAAGUGCUCUUCAAAAUUCUCUGUGUUGCUUUCCUUUUAAUUUGAGGUAAAUUAUAUUGUUCUUCUUCAAUUUCAAGAAGCUAAUAUGGGAUUCCAAUAUUGAUUUUUUGAAAUUGUAGGCAAUUUUAUGUUUCUAGGGUUUAAGUAACUGUUGCGUUUUGAAUUUCUUUUCCCAGUCUUGAUGAAUUGGAUUCUAGGUGGUGUAUAUGCUUAAUGAUAGAUGCUUUCUAUGUUAGAGAAAUUAGGAAUUUUUUUAUGAAACUAAGGCUUUAA
rnacentral:lncRNA from 1 species